rnacentral:rRNA from 2 species
UGGGGAAUAUUGCACAAUGGAGGGAACUCUGAUGCAGCGACGCCGCGUGAACGAAGAAGGCUUUCGAGUCGUAAAGUUCUUUUAUAUGGGAAGAUAAUGACGGUACCAUAAGAAAAAGCCCCGGCUAACUACGUGCCAGCAGCCGCGGUAAUACGUAGGGGGCUAGCGUUGUCCGGAAUCACUGGGCGUAAAGGGUUCGCAGGCGGAAAUGCAAGUCAGGUGUAAAAGGCAGUAGCUUAACUACUGUAAGCAUUUGAAACUGCAUAUCUUGAGAAGAGUAGAGGUAAGUGGAAAUUUUAGUGUAGCGGUGAAAUGCGUAGAUAUUAAAAAGAAUACCGGUGGCGAAGGCGACUUACUGGGCUCAUUCUGACGCUGAGGAACGAAAGCGUGGGUAGCAAACAGG